GAGGGGCUUACAAAGGGGCUCAGAUACCUGCAAUGUUCCAAAAAAAUCAGUAUUAGCAGCCAGGUCAGUUCACAUGACCCAGCAUUAAAAACACAGCAGAACCAGUGUUUCUCUUCUAGGACUUAGCCCACACACUCAGCUUCAAAAUGGAAAAGCACGCUGUUUGCUAUUGAGGGUCAGAUGCUGAGCACUAAACCCACAUACACUGCAGCUUGCGUGCAUAAGUGCUAAGUCACUUCAGUUGUGUCCAACUGUGCAACCCCAUGUACUGUAGCCUGCCAGACAACUCUGCCCACGGGGAUUCUCCAGGCAAGAAUACUGGUGAAAGUGUAUUGUUGGAUCCACAGCACUAGUUAGAGAUGCCAGAUCCACAGGGCCGGGAAACAGGGUGAAGCAAGCAAGUCACCCGGGGCACAUUUAAGGAGGUCCUCACCACCAGGGCCUCCUUGUCUCAUCCUUGUCCCAGCUCCAAGGCCCACCCUGACCUCCUGAAUUUUAACAAGACCUUCAAGUGAUAUGUGUACACAGCAAAGUCUGAGAAGCUCUGGCCUAAGACACAUGGCAUGGAUUUGGCGGAGAGGACAUUAAACACUGAGGAAUUGUGAACACAAAUACCAUAAAACCUGCUUGCCAGUGUAUGGGUUGACUAGUUUUCCCCCCAAACUUCAUGUUUACCCAGAACCAGUGAAUGUAACCUUAAUUGGAAAUAAAGCCUUUGAAGAUGUAAUCAGGUUAGGAUGAGGUGUACUAAAUUAGGGUGGCCCCUAGAUCCAGUAUGACUGGGGGCUUUAUAAGAAGAGAAGAGACAGGCAGAGACAGGAGAAAGAAGGCCCUGUGAUGACUGAGGCAGAGACUAGAGUGGUGUAGCUGCAAGCCAGGACUCCCCAGGUGGCACUAGUGGUAAAGAAGCCACUUGCCAGUGUAGGAGACGGAAGAGACGCAGGUUUGAUCCCUGGGUUGGGAAUGACAACCCACUUCAAUAUUCUUCCCUGGAGACUCCCAUGGACAGAGGAGCCUGGCAGUCCAUAGGGUCGCAUAGAGUUGGACGUGACUGAAGCAACUUACCACGCACGCACACGUGCAACUGCAGGUCAAGGACUGCUGGCAACCACAAGAGCAAGAACACACUAUUCCCAAGACCCUUCAGAGAGAUCACGGUCCAGCUGACAUCUUAAUUUUAGACGUUUAGAUUCCAGAACUGCAAAAGAACAAAUUUCUAUUUGAAGCCACCUGGCCUAAGGUAAAAUUUUAUGGCAGUUCUAGGAAAAUAAUGCAGCCAGAAUUUUCACAUCUUUAAAAAUGGGGGUGCUGCUUUCCCCACCGAAUCACUGGGUUACUGGAAAGAAUAUAUGACAGAAUGACUGCAAAGAUGUUUCAAAAACUAUAAAACACAGAGAUUUCCCUGGUAGUACAGUGGCUAAGAUUCUGUACUCCCAACUCAGAAGGCCGGAGUUCAAUCCCUGGUCAGGGAACUAGAUCCCACAUGUGGCAACUAAAGAUCCCACAGGCCACAACUAAGAUCUGGUGCAGCCAAAGAAAUAAAUGUUAAUGAAAAAACUAUCAAAUGCAAUUCAAAGAUGAAACGUUAUUUUUUUUCAUAUUUUUAAAUCUUUAUUUUUAGGUCAUGCUGUGUGGCAUAUGGGAUCUUAGUUCCCCAACCAGGGAUUGAACCCUCAGCCCCUGCCUUGGGAACACAGAGACUUAACCACUGGACCACGAGGGAAGUUCCAACAUUAUUAUUUUUAAUGAGAACAUUCAGUUAUAAAAUAUUUAUAUGCUUAUUUUCAAAGAAGUUUGUGUAAUAAUUUGGAUACUUCCCCCCUCCCAGGUGUUGGUAGUACAUACCUCUUGGCCCAUUGUGUGGAUUUGGCCACUUGACUUCCUUUGAACAAUCGGAUGUUAGUGAUUGAUGUGAGCAGAGGCCCUCAUGCGCUUGUACAGUUUGACUGCCCUUUUGCACUCCUGUCAUCCACUGUGAGAACAGGUUCCCCAGAUAAUCACCUGGGCCACACAAUGGAACAUAAUGCUUCAUCUUUUAAGACAUUUUCUUUUUUUUCCUUUUUUUCCCCCCUAUCUUCACCUAUUUCUUCCAUUCUCCACUCCCCACCUCUGGAAACCACCAAUUUGUUCUGUUUCUAGGGGUUCAGUUUUUCUAGAUUCCACAUAUAAAUAUGAUUAUACAGUAUUUAUUAAAAUCUUUUUCUGUCUGACUUAUCUCACUUGCCAUAAAACCAUCCAGGUCCAUCCAUGUUGUUACAGAUAGCAGCAUUUCCUUCUUUUAUGACUAAUAUUCCACUGUGUAGAUCUAUCCAUUCAUCUGUCAGUGGACACUUGAAUUGUUUCCACAUCUUACCUAUUGUGAAUGAUGCUACAGUGAACAUGAAGGUACACUUACCUCUUCUAGAUAGUGGUUUUCAUUUCCUUCAGAUAAAUACCCACAAGUGGAAUUGCUUGAUCAUGUGGUAAUUCUAUUUAUACUAUUUAUCAUUUUUUUUUAGGAACCUCCAUACUAUUUUCCACAGUGGCAGCACCAGUUUAUAUUCCUAUUUUAAGAUGUUUCCCUGUUUGCUUUUCUGAUCCUAUUUACAAAAUUCUCUUACAGAGUCUGAAUUUGAUCAUUUUUUUUACCAUAAUCAAAAGCUAAAAGCAACAGCCUGGUCAAAAAGGAAAUCGGAAAAACAACUGUAGAGGAAGAUCAAGCCUUGAUCUAAGAGUAUCUGUCUCCUCAGCUGAAAAGCAAGGGUUUAAGACUGGGUGGUUUCUUGUAGCCCCUUAUAUCCCAGGUUUCAGUGAUUAUUGUCCAUUCCUCCACCUCCUCAGUCAGGUCAGGGUGCAUCCCCCACUCCAUUGUAACACUCCAGGCCUUUCUACCAUAUCUUUGCCUUUCUCUCAAAACUCUGUCAUCAUUCUGCCAACACAACCUCAUUAUCUGUGUCAGGACCUAUUGUCAUAUAACUCAAAUUUCAGGGUAGGAUGACAAGCUGCUGUGGCAGUCAAAUAUGCCCCAGGGGCCAAAGGAAUACUGAGAGGUUAAAUGGUUCAGCCACCUUAGAGCCAGUGAAGUCAGCUUCUGCCUCCCCAAAGAGCAGUCUCAACAGUAACAUUGCUAACGAUCCAUGGCUAAAAGAACUAGGAAGCUAACACGUAUUAGGGGCUAUCACUUGUGCUUCCCACAAGGUCAUUCCAUUCAUCCUCUGGCUGAGAUAGGUAUUAUCAGCCCCUGAUAGGUAUUAUCAGAUUUGGAAAAGUACAGGGAGACCUGGUAAAUUUUUAAUAACUCCAUGGGCAGGAGGGAGCCCCAAUUUGCCAGUUUCCCUGGUUUAAAGAUGCCUACCACAGCCAACAUGACCCAAGAUGACAUCAGAGUUGGGAAGAGAUUCAAACACCUGGCUCUCUGACAGGGCUGAGAAGACUCCAGCACUCACCAUAACUGUGUACAGAGAGGUCAAGCAACUAAUCAAGGUCACCAGCUAAAAUGUGGAAAGUGAGGAUGUGAACCCAGACCUCUGACUUGAGUACAGCUCUUGAUAUUCCCACGUGAACGGCAAGUCCUUGUGAGCAGAGAGCCCUAGACUGUCUUUAUACGUAAUAAUAUACCCCUGAGGUGAUUUUUCCCAGAACAUAUUAGGUCAGACCUACAAAACUCCAUAGACAUUUUUUCCUCCCAAUUAUAUCACAUCAGAUUUCCAACAACAAAAUGAAGAAAAUUUCUUUCUAAAAUCUUAGACCUAACUGCUGACCUACUUGUUCAAUAUGACAUUUGACUGCAAAUGGGACAGAGGCGGAAUUUAGGAGGGGAAAGAAUUGUGCCUUCUUCCAAAUAGCGCAAACACCCAACAGUGACCAGAGACAACCCUACCCACUCCCACUCCCACCCCUAUACAGGGUUGGCCCAGCUCCUGCCAUUGCAUGUAAAUGAUUGUUGCCAAUUCCACCAGGGAGAGGUGACCCUUCCUCAGGGACUGAGCGCCACUUUCAGAGGCUGAGUGAAAUGUUUUUAUUCUAACCUUUGCCUCCCUUUACAGAUGGUUCUUUGAAACCAGUAGACAUCAGGAGAACAAAUGGGCAGUCAAACACUCUGCAAGAAGCUGUUGAAUAAUCAACUGUUUAUAACCCAGCUGAGUCCACUCUAGGAUGUUGUUGUUGUUAUUUAGUCACCAAGUCAUCUCUGACUUUGCAACUCCAUGGACUGUAGCCCACCAGGCUCCUCUGUUCAUGGGAUUUCACAGGCAAAAAUACUGGAGGGGAUUGUCAUUUCCUUCUCCAGGGGAUCUUCCUGAUCCAAGGAUCAAACCUGUGUCUCCUACAUUGGCAGGCAGAUUCUUUACCACUGAGUCACUGGGAAACAAUACUCCAGGAUAAGGGGCUGUAAAUGCAAGUACGUUCAGGGGCAGACAAUGUGCAUGGUCACAGCCAUACAUGUGAAACCACAGGGCUUCAUGAAGCUCACCCAUGCACAUAUCUUUAAAAUACGUGAAUAUGUGUCCCAUGUAUCUGAGAACAUGAUGCAGCCACUGGGCCGAGAGUUUUCAAGCCUUGCUAGGGUUCAGUCAAUAAUAAUUCAACCAAUGUAGUUAAAUUACACACACACACAAUUUUUACAUAUUUCAGUUAGAAUUGUUAAGCUACAAGUGACAGAAAACCCAAAAUAAUAGUGACUCAUAAACAAGCAAGAAGUUUUUUCUCUUCCACCUAAAACUCUCAAAGCAAGCCCAGACCAAAAAGGCAUUAUGUAUGUACAUGUCAGAGACCCACAUCCUUUUAACCUUUUCCUCUGCCAUCUCAUGGUGUGACUUUGGUGUCAUCUCUUUGGUGGCUGCUUUAGCUUCAGGCAUUAUGUCAUACAGCUUCAAUUAGCUACCAGGGAGAUUGAAAUAUUUGGUCUUUAUUCAAAGUAACCAUGAACUCAAUUCAAAAUCAGCAUUCUGGGACUUCCCUAAUGGUCCAGUGGCCAAGAGUUUGCAUUGCCAAUACAGGGAGCCAGGGCAUGAUCCCUGGUCAGGAAACUAGAUCCCACCUGCCACAACUAAGAGUUCACAUGUGCAACUAACAAGGCCUCGCGUACCAUAACUAAGACCCAGUGCAACCAAAUAAAGAAAGAAAUGUUUUUAAAAUAGGGUUGUAAAACUAACUUUGCUAGUUGGGGGGAUGGAAACCCAGUUGAUUAAUAAAUAUAAAGAAUACUGGAGGCAGAGAAGGCAUAGAUAAUAAUCAGUGGACACAGACAACGAGUUUGGUUUGGGUGAUCUAAUAUCUCAAUCACUCCUGGUACGAUGUAAUUCUAUGAAGUACAUGCGGAUCUUUGCAAUGGUGCAUUGUCAAAACUCCCCUUUGGAAAUUCUUAGCAAAGCCUCAUUCACCUUAUUUGGGAUAUCCUGACUGGAUGAAUCUUCAUUGUUUUCAUGGGAAUUCAGCUUUUGGAAAUAUCUAAAACUAAAUAAGGUGAGUUAUGAGAUUUUGAUAAAAUAUUUUUGUGAAUGCGCUAGUAAAUAAAAGUAAUUCUAUUGAUUGUUUUCUGUGCAUAUCAUAGUCCUUCUAAAAGCAAUUCCACAACAAGAAAUACAAAUGUUUUCAACUAUGAAAGCAUCAUUUACAAAAGGACACCACCUACCAAGUAACCUCACUCAAGACAAACUCUUGCCAGAUUUUUUUUUUUAAUUACACUCAGGAGUUGGUGAUCCAAACAUCCUCUUAAAUAAAACAGUUUCCUACAGGUACUAUAACAAAUUGCCACAACCUCAGUGAUUUAAGAAGGCAAUAGCAACCCGAUCCAGUACUCUUGCCUGGAGAAUCCCAUGGAUGGAGGAGCCUGGAAGGCUGUAGUCCAUGGGGUCGCUGAGGGUUGGACACGACUGAAGUGACUUAGCAGCACUGAUUUGAAACAGCACAUGUAAUAUUCAGCUAUAAAAAGGAAUGAAUUUUUUUUAAAAAAGGAAUGAAAUUUUGAUAUAUGUUACAACAUGAUGGACCUUGAAGACAUUAUGCUUUAGUGAAAUAAGCCAGAAUACAAGGACAAAUAUUGUAUGAUUCCACUUACCGGAAGUAUCUAGAAUAGACAAAUACAGAGACAAAAAGUAGAAUAGAGGUUACCAGGAGUAGGGGAGAGGGGGGGAAUGAGGAGUUAUUAUUUAAUGGGUUCAGAGUUUUUAUUGAGAUGAUGAAGGUUUUUAAGCCAAAGAUAGUGGUGAUGUUAUACAACACUGUGAAUGUAUUUAAUGCUACUGGUUUGUAAACUUAAUGAAUAGUUAAAUUGAUAAAUUUUAAAUUAUGUAAAAUUUGCCACAAUAAAAAAAAUAACAUACAUGUAUUCUCUCAGAAUUCUUGAGGUGAGAAUACUGAAGUCAGAUUCACUGAGCCAAAAUCAAAGUGUCAGC
ensembl:lncRNA